GCGUUAAUCGGAAUUACUGGGCGUAAAGCGUGCGCAGGCGGUUUUGUAAGACAGUGGUGAAAUCCCCGGGCUCAACCUGGGAACUGCCAUUGUGACUGCAAGGCUAGAGUGCGGCAGAGGGGGAUGGAAUUCCGCGUGUAGCAGUGAAAUGCGUAGAUAUGCGGAGGAACACCGAUGGCGAAGGCAAUCCCCUGGGCCUGCACUGACGCUCAUGCACGAAAGCGUGGGGAGCAAACAGGAUUAGAUACCCUGGUAGUCCACGCCCUAAACGAUGUCAACUGGUUGUUGGGUCUUAACUGACUCAGUAACGAAGCUAACGCGUGAAGUUGACCGCCUGGGGAGUACGGCCGCAAGGUUGAAACUCAAAGGA
rnacentral:rRNA from 1 species